rnacentral:rRNA from 1 species
CCUACGGGAGGCAGCAGUAGGGAAUAUUGGACAAUGGGCGCAAGCCUGAUCCAGCCAUCCCGCGUGAAGGAUGAAGGUCCUCUGGAUUGUAAACUUCUUUUCUUCGGGAAUAAAAACUGGGGUUCUCCUCAGCUUGAAGGUACCGAAGGAAUAAGCACCGGCUAACUCCGUGCCAGCAGCCGCGGUAAUACGGAGGGUGCAAGCGUUAUCCGGAUUCACUGGGUUUAAAGGGUGCGUAGGUGGCUUUGUAAGUCAGUGGUGAAAGCUCGGAGCUCAACUCGGAAACUGCCAUUGAUACUGCUUAGCUUGAAUCAGGUGGAGGUGGAUGGAAUGUGACAUGUAGCGGUGAAAUGCUUAGAUAUGUUACAGAACACCGAUUGGGAAGGCAGUUCACCAGCCCUGUAUUGACAUUGAGGCACGAAAGCGUGGGGAUCAAACAGGAUUAGAUACCCUGGUAGUCCACGCCCUAAACGAUGUAAACUCGACAUUAGCGAUAUACAGUUAGUGUCUCAGCGAAAGCGUUAAGUUACCACCUGGGAAGA